rfam:Butyrivibrio sp. CAG:318 genomic scaffold, scf15
UGAAACUGAGGGCAGAAAAGGCAGCCGUCGCCCAUUGUUAGGAGAUGUGGGAAAUGUCACCCCACCUUUUCA